AGAACGUCGUGAGACAGUUCGGUCCCUAUCUGCCGUGGGUGUAGGAAAAUUGAGAGGAUCUGUCCUUAGUACGAGAGGACCGGGAUGGACGUACCUCUGGUGGACCUGUUGUGGCGCCAGCCGCAUUGCAGGGUAGCUACGUACGGACGGGAUAACCGCUGAAAGCAUCUAAGCGGGAAACCCACCUCGAAACGAGUUUUCCCUUGAGAGUCGUGGUAGACCACCACGUCGAUAGGCCGGGUGUGGAAGUGCGGCAACGCAUGCAGCUUACCGGUACUAAUCACUCGAUCGGCUUGAUCGC
rnacentral:ncRNA from 1 species